UACGGAGGGUGCGAGCGUUGUCCGGAAUCACUGGGCGUAAAGGGCGCGUAGGUGGCCCGUUAAGUGGCUGGUGAAAUCCCGCGGCUCAACUGCGGGGCUGCCGGUCAGACUGGCGAGCUAGAGCACGGUAGGGGCAGAUGGAAUUCCCGGUAUAGCGGUGGAAUGCGUAGAGAUCGGGAAGAAUACCAGUGGCGAAGGCGUUCUGCUGGGCCGUUGCUGACACUGAGGCGCGACAGCGUGGGGAGCAAACAGG
rnacentral:rRNA from 1 species